AACAUGUUUGCGUUUCUU
rnacentral:tRNA from 1 species